UCUCUGCCUUUGAGCCCCCUAUAGGGCCGAGGAUUAAGCUCUGGCGCCAUAGCACUUUGCUGGCGCAUAACUGGGGCCGCCUGGCCUUCACAGGGGGCCCUUUUAACCGGUAGCUACAGGC